GGAAAAGAAAGCCAAACAGAGAGGACUGGAGUUUGGGGACGCUUCAUCAGAAAUCCUGGAAUUUGUGCAGAUCUGGACAAAUCUGUAAACGAGCGGAGAGGCAGCCGGCCAUUACUGGAGACAUGGUGUUCCAUGUGGGGGGGCCAUGGAACUACGCGAGGGCUGGAAAGAACAGUCCGCCAGAUCUUAGCUUAGGAUCCUCAUGCACCACAUGGAGGACGCUAAUGAGAACCAGCCACGAGAGAAACAAGUUCCUGUUUAACCAACGAGAAAGAAGCAGAUGAAAUAUUCUCCAAGAAAAUUAGGUAAGUCAUUUUUUUGUUACUAUUUUCUCUAUGUGAAGAGGGGUUGGAGGGGACAAGUAAGUGGGGAACAUCCACCAGCUGAGUAAAUAAGCUACGUUUUAGACAACUGUUGUCAAAUGUAAAACUGGUGUUUAUUCUAUUUAUUUAGUAAUAAACUUGCAAACAUCCACAAGCCACAGUGUGUGGUUGGAAAUAAUUUUGAAUACUCAUUAAAUGAUAAGUUACACUCAUGUACCUAAAACUAUACAUUAAAUGAUGCAUUCUGAAUAACAAUGGUAGACUGUAUGAACUUUUGCUAUACAAAUAUUUGAUCAGAAUAAUUUUGUUCAGCUCUAAUCAUAAUGCUUCUUGCAUUAAGAAAGCAUUAUAUUGCACUUAAUAACAACCAUUCAUGUUAACUAGACAUUAGUCUGCCAGUCUACCAUUCUGAGAGCGUGCAGCAAGGGGCAUUCUGGAAUGGUACUUAAAUAAAUGCUGAAUUAAGAUCACAUUGUUUUUUGUUCAUUUGUUUUUGUUCCUUUUUCUUAAGUGACCACAGUGGAUUGAGUCAUCACCGGCUAUGAGAGUGUCCAGAAAAGAUUCACCAAGUUUGAAUUUAUGACAAGGCUUUCACCAUGAUUAACAUUGCAACACCAUUGCAAGGACAGUUAUAAUUUCUGAGCAUUUCCGGACACCUUCCGGACACCCAGCUGUUUCCUGGAAAUGAAGACAGCAAGGAGAUCCCCCUGUUUUAAGAGCUUUAGAGCAAGACUGUAACGAAGGAGAAGGCUGACAAAAUCAAAGCAAAAAAAAAUGUUAGGACUGUUGAAAGAAAAAUUUUUCUUAAGUUAAAUUAAAUCUGUUUAAUGUUUUAAUCAGUAUUUCAGAGAUGCAAUAUGCUGAAGAGAAGUUAAACCCUCUGUUUGAAGAAGUGCAAGUUAUCCUUUGUUUUAUUCCAAUGUACAAAGGGUCUGUUCUACAGCUAUGAUGGUAGUUAUAAAUAGUCCAGUGUUUUCCACUUUACUUGUGGCAAGACUUAAUAUUAAUGACUAUGUUAGUAUAGCACUGACACCGUAAUAACACUUAAUGACAUAUUCAUAACUGUUGCUACUUGUUUCACUUUACUUGAGGUAAGCAUUAACAUUAAUGACACUUUAAUAACACUUAAUGACAUCUUCAUAACUGGUGCUACUUGUUCCACUUGAUGUAAGAUGACUUAUUAAUGACUUUGUUAAUAAAUAAUUUGUUAAUGCAAUAAAAGUUAAUGACAACUUUAUUAUUGAUCCUACUUGUUCCACUUUAUUUCAGGUAGGGGGAAAUAUUAAUGACUGUGUUGUUAAAGCUUUUUGCAGUGUAAUAACAUUUGUCAAGUUGUUAUAACAAAGACAUUUUGAAAAAUGUCAACUUUGAAUAGUGUCAUUAUUUACCGAAUGACACUUCAUGACAACAGUCAUAAAUAUUCCUGAAGACUUAAUCAUGUUCAUUACAGGUGUUAUGUCAUGUUUAUGACAGUGUCAUCUCAGUCUUCUGCACACCCUGUCAAAUAAAGUGUUACUGGAUAAGAUCAAAUCAGACCUCGCACUACAAUCUUUGCUUCACUCGAUGUCACCCUAAAUGCUAAGUGGAGCCCAGGGCCGGAUGAUGAGUGUCAGUCUGUAUCUGUUUUGUUUGUAUGAUUUGUAACAUUUAAUUAUUUUUGGCAUUAAAACCUGCUUUAUACCUAAACAAAUCUCAUUAUUUCUCAAAGUAAUGACUCUGAGGGAUUUUGGUAAGGUUGUCUUGAGGAAAUCUCUGACUGUUAUGACACUCCCAUUUAAAAAAAGACUGAAAGGAAUGAUUUUGGACUUCACAUGACAUUCUAACCUCUUAUCCUUCUUCCUCUUACUUCUCUGAGCAAAUGGUUGAAGUUAUUUCUCUUAUUGCAGCUUAGACAAUUGCCACAGGACAGUCAUGACAAUCUAUAAAUUCAUGUUAUGCAUUUGGAGCAGUGCAUUACUUGUUUUUUAGAAUAAUUGGAAAAUGGAAGGGCAGAUUCUGCUGUAAAAAUACAGCCAACUCUUCCCUCCUGCUGAUUUUUGUCUUUUGUUUCCACAGGUGAGAAGUGUCUAUGGCAAACUGCAGGUAAGGCACUCUCAGAUGUUGUGGAGAGAUCCUGAUGUUGAAUCGUUUUUGCUUUACUAUUUCUUUCCAGAUUUGACCAAAUUGACACACAUUGGCAGUUUUGCAGAAGAUACUGAAAAUCAUGCAUGGUUUGCGCCACACACAAUGUGGUAAGAAACGUUUUAAGGGAACAGGACAGUGCGGUGCUGUUUGUGAUGAUGCAAGUGGAGAGGUGCACACAAAAGCUGCACACCUGACCCCUGAAGAGACCUUUUGCAAUGACUGAAGCUUGCUGACUGGACGGUGGUGAAAAAAGCCCCAUAGCAACCAGUGGUGACUUCAGAAAGAACCUUCAAAGUACCAUAAAAUUCUUACUUCUUCUCAUUCACAAUCUUGUUAAAGUAAUUUUUUAUGGCAUGGCACCACUAUAUUUACGAGGUAAUUCCUGUAAAUAAAAGAAAAAUCUUGUGUUUUGCAGGCACAUUAUCUGUGGUUUCUCCCUCUGCAGAAUUAGUUUGGGAUUAGCAUGGAUUCAGAGAUAAUAGGAAGGCACACAGUUUGGGGCCGAAGCAAUCUGGAAUGAACAGCAUAAUUACCAUCUCAAGCUCAAGGUCCAGUUGCUUGGAAGGACCAAAUAUUGGCGGUUUCGCUGAAAGGCAAAAGGUAAACGUUGU